CGUUUCCUGACAUUUAUAUGACGUCCCGACCGGCUCCAUAAUGAUUUUUUUAUUUAAUUUUUUUGUUAUUGCUUAGAUGGGUGGACGAGCUCACAGCCCACCUGGUGUUAAGUGCCAGUAACCACUUAACACCAGGUGGGUUAAAACAAUUAACACAGUAUUUAGGUGAUAUUGGAUAAUUAAUAGUCCAAUAAAUUGUAUGAACCUAUAAUUAACUCCAUCUGCUAUUAAUCGGGUAUUAUUAAUUAUUGGCAGUAUUUUUUAAAAGCUAUCCUGUUAGGUUAUUAACGCCAUCUGUUAUUCAUGGGGCAUAAAUAAUCGCAGAUACUAUUUUUAAGAUUAUCACUACUAGAUUUAAACCGGGCCAUUAAUGUAGUGAAUAAAACCACCAAUGCCUUAUGGUUUAUUUUCAUCGACUCUGAUUUGAUUGUGCGCAGUAUUACAGAGCUCAAAGUUUCCAAGCAAUUCUGUGGCUGGCCGCGUAAGCAUUCCGCCUAAUAUUUGAUUAGAUGAUAAAAAUAAAAAGGUAAAGACAAUAAUUACAAUACGUAACCUAACUAGUUAAGAACAUCAACCUACAUAAAAACAGGGUAUAAGGCAACCGUGACGCAAUUCAAGCGUAUCUAGAUUCGAACACAGGUUUUAUUACCUAAUCGAUUCUGUAAGGUGAGUCCAUUGUCUCGAUCAAUAGAAAAAAAAACACAAAUGAAUAUUUAUAAUCUGUGUAGUGUUGCUUAUUGUAUUGUGGUAUUAUCUAUGUUAAUUGUCGUCGAAACAAGUAGAAUCAGAUUUUUUGUUGUGAAACUACAAUCGUUGAUCAAUGCAAUUUUUUUUUCAGUACUACAUCGACUCCUUACGAUUUCUUUGCCAGUAUCGAGUUCAGCAUAGUGCAAUCGGCCUCUUGCGAUGUAAUUGUUGCCAGCGUCAAGCCUAUUUACUAUGAAAUUAUUUUUAUUUACAUGAUAAACUUAAGUUUAUUGAAUAAAUAUGAGAAAUGAAACGGAUCGGUAACGAAAUUAAGUUAAUCAUUUGAUCAUUGAAUUUGUAAUCAAUUUGGAUGAAAUUAAAUUAAGUAUCCCAAUAAACUGGUGGAAAUUUA